rnacentral:rRNA from 1 species
AACGAACGCUAGCGGCAGGCUUAACACAUGCAAGUCGAACGCCCCGCAAGGGGAGUGGCAGACGGGUGAGUAACGCGUGGGAACGUGCCCUUCGCUUCGGAAUAGCCCCGGGAAACUGGGAGUAAUACCGGAUACGCCGUAUUGGGAAAGAUUUAUCGGCGAAGGAUCGGCCCGCGUUGGAUUAGCUAGUUGGAGGUGUAAUGGACCCCCGAGGCUACGAUCCAUAGCUGGUCUGAGAGGAUGAUCAGCCACACUGGGACUGAGACACGGCCCAGACUCCUGCGGGAGGCAGCAGUGGGGAAUCUUGGACAAUGGGCGCAAGCCUGAUCCAGCCAUGCCGCGUGAGUGAAGAAGGCCUUAGGGUUGUAAAACUCUUUCGCCGGAGAAGAUAAUGACGGUAUCCGGAGAAGAAGCCCCGGCUAACUUCGUGCCAGCCGCCGCGGUAA